GGCGAACGCUGGCGGCGUGCUUAACACAUGCAAGUCGAACGGAAAGGCCCUGCUUUUGUGGGGUGCUCGAGUGGCGAACGGGUGAGUAACACGUGAGUAACCUGCCCUUGACUUUGGGAUAACUUCAGGAAACUGGGGCUAAUACCGGAUAGGAGCUCCUGCUGCAUGGUGGGGGUUGGAAAGUUUCGGCGGUUGGGGAUGGACUCGCGGCUUAUCAGCUUGUUGGUGGGGUAGUGGCUUACCAAGGCUUUGACGGGUAGCCGGCCUGAGAGGGUGGCCGGCAACAUGGGGGUUGGGAUGCGGCCCAGACCCCUACGGGAGGCAGCGGUGGGGAAUAUGGUACAAUGGGCGGAAGCCUGAUGCAGCAACGCCGCGUGCGGGAUGACGGCCUUCGGGUUGUAAACCGCUUUCGCCUGUGACGAAGCGUGAGUGACGGUAAUGGGUAAAGAAGCACCGGCUAACUACGUG
rnacentral:rRNA from 1 species